UCAAUUGCGCAUCUGGAUUGAGUUGGCUGAGUUAAGUUUUAUUCUGUUAUUUCAUUGGUUCUUUGAUUUCAUUGGUCAUUUCAUAUUUCUUUAUCCAAUAAUAGUAUUUCAGUAUAUGUAUAAAUCUACCGCGCUUAUCUAUGUAGUUAGAGCAGUAAUACGUUUUGAAGAGUUACAACCAGCUGAUAUCUUCCGCAUCUUAUGGUCAAUGCCUUUAUUUUCUACUGAAUAAAUUAAUAAAACCAA